rnacentral:rRNA from 1 species
UACGUAGGGUGCGAGCGUUGUCCGGAAUUAUUGGGCGUAAAGAGCUCGUAGGCGGUCUGUCGCGUCGGUCGUGAAACUCGCAGCUUAACUGUGGGCGUGCGGUCGAUACGGGCAUGACUGGAGUUCGGCAGGGGAGACUGGAAUUCCUGGUGUAGCGGUGAAAUGCGCAGAUAUCAGGAGGAACACCGGUGGCGAAGGCGGGUCUCUGGGCCGAUACUGACGCUGGAGGAGCGAAAGCGUGGGGAGCGAACAGG